rnacentral:lncRNA from 1 species
GGUGGCGUGUGUGAAGGCUGCCGUGCCUCAGCUCCCUGCCCGCGUGUUGGCUACACGUGGGCGCAGUGGUCAGCUCCAGUGCGUGGAGCGUUUGCACUCACUACUACGCCACAAAGCUUUGCUGUGUGGGCCACCUCAUGUCAGGCCAUCCCACCUGGCUGCUCCUGAGCCUCCUGUCCUCGCUGCGCUGCCCUGGCAGGCCGAGGUCUGGCUCUGCAGACCGCCAUUUGCAGCAGAGAAGUGGUGAAAAAUGUGCUUGUGAGUAGGCCUCGGCACUGCGCUCCUGUCAGGUGCUCCACUAUAGAACAGAUAUGCAAAGAAGAAAGUUCUGCCAUGGAAGUAAUGCAGAAAGCUAAGGAAAAGAAGACUUCUAAGUUCAAUUCUAAGGUAAAGAUUUCGAAGCUUGUAGAGCAGCCUCUCCCUUUACGUGGGUCUUACGCAGAGAACUACUAUUUUGUGGAGAGUAAAAGCCAUUAGAUAUUGCUGUGUGACAUUUUGCACUUUCAAGGAGUGUAUAGGUUAAGACUGACCACGAGGAUUCUACAGCUGAUGUUGGUAAAUGUCCUUAGGCCACAGCUUUAACUUCAUUUCUACUAUGCAGCUCUAAAGGCUUGAAGACCAAGUUGUACAAACAUGUAGGUAACUAUAAAAAAUGUACUAAAUGAAAACAACAUUAAAAUGAUUUAUAAGCAGUUCUCCAUGUUUAUAGGAGGGGCAGAAACACUACAUUUGAAGACUGGAGUUGAAAGUCUGAGUUUAUGGUGGAGAGGUGCUGUUUCCAAGCUUUAAUUGUAAGAAUGAUUCAUUGUCGCGCGAGAUGUUCAUGGAAGAUUAUGCAGAACUUUACUGCUACUAAGGUAACAGAGAACACACAAACCAAAGAUUGCAGAUGUAUGAAAAAUAUGAUAAAGGAUUGUUUAUUUAGCAAGGUGCAACAGGCACAGAAGAAAAAUCCAGGAGAAACUGAACAUUAUAUUUAAGGCAGGAUAAAGGGAUAAGAUGGCAGAUUGUUUGUCUAGGACUUUUUAGAAACUUUCUGGUCUGAAGAUUGUUGGUAC